rnacentral:lncRNA from 1 species
GUGUUCAACUCAAUUAGUCCUGUGACUCCUCACUAGGACUACCCUGGCCAAGGUUUUGCUAAAUUUAAACACGACUGUACACAGCUCCUAAACUGGAGUGGUCAAUCCCAUCUUGACACACGCACCGACAAGUCAAGUAUUUGACUACACCCAACAGCCUUCCGUCACUGAAUUAGAAAUUCAGGUAGUCCAGUGCCUAAGUGCAGUGAGUUGCUUGCAAGUCACC